ensembl:lncRNA
UUUUUUUCUUUUUUUCUUUUUUUUUUUAAUAAGGAGUUUAUAGGUGUGUUUUCAUAUUGUUGCUGUAGGGAGCAAAUUGUCAAGGUCAAAUAUUUCUGGUAAAAAAAAAAUCUCAGUUGUGGGAUAUUAAUAAAGUUACAGUUGUUAACUAGAAGAUUUCUUUUUUAGUUACAUGAUUAAAAGAAUGGAGAGUUGAAGAAAAGACAGCUUUUGAAAAGAAGUAAACAAUUAAUUGUAUAAUAAUUUCUGUAGAAUCAGUACAGAAGCCAGAAUGCUACAUAGAGAAGGACAUAGAAUCAUAGCUACAGCCAUAACAAAAGAUCCUUUUGCAAGUGUAUCUAGAGUGGGGAGUCCAUAAGGACUCCGUCAAAUAAUGAAUUGAGACAUUAUUGCCUUUUUUUUAAUACAUACCUACAUUUGCAUAACAAAUGCAAACAUAUCUGUCUGGAGAAUCAUAUGUGGCAAGUACCUAAUACCUGCUUAUUACAAAGCAGAUAUUGCUGAUUCCUGAAAGGAGAACUGAAUUCAGUUGAUCUCAGUCUUAUUGGAUCUACUAUAAAAAUUGCCAAGUUCUUUAUCUUGCAAGACAGAAUUUGCUGAUGGUGGUUUUCUCCAAAAUCACAUAUCCCAGAGGAUGCUCUCCUUUCCUCCUUCUGUUUAUUUUCUUUAAAAUACCACUAAGAACACAAGGGACUUGUAACACUGAAAUGAAAUGAUUCCUCCAUAAAUUAGUAAGUGAAACACCAGUGGGAGACCUUAAAAAGGUGAAAUGUGUUAAUGGUGUCAUUACCACUUGGUCACCUGUUGCCAUGAGUGCUAAAUGCAUUUCUCAAACCCUGAGCUGCUGUUAUAGCAACUUAUCACCAGGUCUUGGCAGGACUCCUUGAGAGAUCAUGAAAUAUAUAAUUUACAGUUUGCUCCUGGGAAGUAUACUGAUAAACCAAGCUAGAAUAAAAUUACUUCAAAUGGGUGACAUUUUUAAGCUUGAAUUUCCUGGCUGCUGGCUGGUUUAAAUCAGAAGAUGUAAUUUUAUUAAAAAUAUUAAUUUUGUGAUAAUUAAUUAAUUUUUAAUGUACAAUUGCCAAAUGCUACAUGAUCUAUACCUGGGUUACUUUCUUCUCCUUGUGUCCACUUCCCAUUUCCCUUUUCCCUUCCCUGUCUCUUUUUCUCAGGAACACAAAGCCAUCAAACUUAAAGGGAUUUGAGGUGUCACAGCAAUGCUUUUAAAUUAAGCAGGGAUUUCAAUAGAAACAGGAGAUACACAGCACUUCCAGAGAUCUCUGAGGAAAGUAGUUGUGCAAAACGUGGAAAGGAGGUUGAUUGUAGAGCCAGCAUGGUGGGUUUUGCCUCAGAAUUUCUGGCUGCUUCUGGAGCACUGACAAGCCUGAAUUCAGAGCCCUUGGUCUGUUCCAAGACAAGCUUUCACUUCUGCUGGACUACCUGUCCAAUUUCCUGCCCCACAGGAGUUUUUUGCUGCCUAUCCACUUUUACUGAUCCUGCAAUGAAGCUUGGCCACCAUAAACUAGACAUUUUGCUGCUGGGCUGUAUGACAUGAUAAUCCCUGCUGCCUGCAGAUCUUUGAUUCUCAUCCAGCUUUGUGCCCUUACUGGCCAGAUCCUUCUCUUGAUGAGAUUUUGAUAUUUUUGCACAACAGUCAACUCAGAGAAGAUAAAAUGAAUUCUUGAUCUCUGAACCAUGGAGGUUCCUUGUAUGUGUGCUGGAUGAAUAGAUUAACAUACAUGCUGUGUGCACACAAGGGAUUCCGUAAGUGUUGAUCCAUGAGCCCUGCUAAAUAAAGCCUAGUGUAUAUUUUAACUUUAAGUGUAACUUACUCAAGUUACAAGGCUGUCCACUUGGCCCUUUGAAGAAAAAGCAAACAAAGCCAUUUUGUUUCCUGUAUUUAUGAUCACAGUAUGACACACCUAAAUAAUGCGGAAAUUAAAAAUAAGCAUCUACAAUGUAAUCAUAAAUAAGUGUAAGUAUUUUUUAACUCCAUGGUGAAAUUGAUGGGUGUGUAGACCUAUCAGACUUAAAAUUUAUCAAACUUAUAACUGAAUUAUGACCUAUUUAUUACUGAUCACUGAAUUGUUACAUUUUGUAUACAUGAUCAUUGUUAGGCUCCAUAUAUGCUAUUAUGGCUGCUCUGUUCGUGAACUAUGUAAUUUGCCAUCAUAUAAUGUUUCCAUCUGACAUAAUUUAGAUAAGUGGAGACAUUUUCAUUUUAUGGUAAAAUAAGAUUAUUUAACUUUUCUUAUUCUGUGCUCCCAAAUUCCCAAUGUCAUUUGUUUGCUUUAAGUGUUUAUUGCUUUCUAUCUAUGCUUUCUGUCUUCUAUACUGCAUGCAUUUAGGGAAAGGAACUGUCUUCUAUGUUAUCUGUCUGAAGCUGAGUUAGAUUGUCUCUGUGAGUGGCUGUAUCAAUCAUAAAACUAUAACAAGAGUCCUGUUUUCUAACAGCUACAUACAGCUUAGUUUUAUAUUCGGGGUAGGAUGAGUCAUGCAGUCUACAUCUGUCUAGUUUCACCUUCUAAUCUACAAGCUUUACAAGCAUUACAGAGUUUUAAGCAACUAGCUGCUUAGCUUCCUAAUUCUCCUUAUGUAGUCAGCAGAGAGACGCAGGCUCUGCCCAGAGCACAGUCCAGAGCAUCUGCAUUGGGCUGUACCUGGAACAGGCCCAAGCGCUGCUCUGGACCUUGAGCAAAGAGUGAUUACGGCAUGCAAGGGGUGAUUACAGGAACUGUGUUAAGGGCUGCUUUAUUGCUGCUGGGGAACCAGCUUACUUGAUCUCUAGCUGAUCUUACCAUAUGAAAUUUAAAGCAAUGAUUUGGAGAAAACUGCAAGCUAAUAUAUACUUAGAAUAAAACAGUGCAUGAAUGCAGGAUACAUAGUUAAUCAGCAUAGUUAUUUUAUUUGCAAUUAAAUAAAACAUUUCAAUGGCACUUAUCUCCAUUUCUCUUCCUAACACCAUCAAAAAUAAAUACAUAGUGUUUUAGUGUUCAAUGAUUUCACUUCCUCACAGAACAAAUCAGUGUAAUUAGAAUAUUAUUUGGAUGGAUAUUUUUAGUAUCUGUAUACAAAUAGAUUUUUCUUCUGCAAUACAUGGCAAUUACAUUUAGGCAAAAUCUUGCUUCUUCAUUAUGAUAUAGACUUAAUAAAAAGUACAUUGUGUUUAAUAUUGUAAUCAAUUUAAUUCCAAUAUCUAAUUAAUAUUGCAAUUCAUAGUGUAGGAGAUGAAGGAACAAUCUAAUAUCAUACACACAUUCAAUGUUCUCUAGUACCUAGGAAUACUCAGAAAACAUUUUUAAAACCACUUAGAAAAUUUCUUCUUUUAAAUUCCUGAGAUCAAUGUUAAAAUACCCCCAAAAUAUUGUUAUUAAUUUGCUUUUUAAUCUAGAAAAUAUUUGUGUCAUAUAAAAUUGUCAAUAGAUUUGGCACUCUAUUAUUUUUGAAGCAAUUUGCCACUUUAUUUCUUUUGAAGCACAAGUUCAGAAAGGAACAAUAUCACAGAAAGGAAAUUGCACUGUUUCAGUGCUCAGACACCCUCAGAAUUUGGUCCUAUAGAGCUAAAAGAUAAUAUUUACAUUACUAAAUCAUGUGUUGAAAUGAGAGUGGUGACAUGUAACAACCUCUCCCUGGAAGUGAUUUUUUUUAUUUUUAAAGAGAUAAUUAGAGGCUCAUGCUUGAUAUUUCUCCUCUAUAGGAAAUUUGGAGCAUGCGAGGUUGAUCCCCUUAGAACUGCAUAUACUCUCAAUUAAGAGUUAGAUAAUUCUUUGUAAAAAGAAAAUCUAACUUAGUUUUAUCUCAAAACCUGGUCAUCAAAAAUGUACAGUAAACUGUGGUUCUGAUGGCUUCUUAUUUCUCAUUUUCUCCUACAGUCAUUAGUUUUGGUUGUGGUUCCAAGGCAACACUUGUCACAUCCUCAAUAAUUAUGAUUACAAAUAUUUCUCUAAAAGCUUUGCUUCAGGCCAGACAAGCCUGGGUAAACCACAAUCCCAAUGUAUUAUUUCUCAGGUGUACAGGAUAGUGUUGGUUGUGAAAUAUGUUGUGAAGCCAUAUCUUUAUGAACAUUUCCUUCAAACGUGCUGCUAAUGAAGCUAUGUAAUGAUUUCAAUAAUUUAAAUAGUUUUUAUUAUCUUCAGCCUUUAAACAUUCUUAUGCUGAUCUGAUUCAUGACUUGACUUUUGUUUUCUUUGGCUAAGUAGCCCUACAGGAGGCAAGGGGGAUUCAUCUGACCAAAUAUAAUCUCCUUUACUCAAUAAAGAAAACAGGUCUUUUUAGUGCACAAUUAAUUUUAUAGUUAAGUGGCUAUUUCAAAAGUCACAAAUUAAUCUCACCCUGGAAGUGCUCAUUUUGGUGUGGAUUAUGUAGAAACCUUGGAGGACCAGAUACAGGAACCAAUAUUGCCAAUAUCUAAUGUGGGGUUUGGUUUAAGAUUCCUAAAUCUGGAUGUCUGUAGAUAUCUAACUGAAAGCUUAAUAUCUAGGUGUUGUUAUAGUCAGUGAAGUCUGGAUAAUGAUUCAGUGUGGAUGUCUAUUUUAGGGUGAAUUGGAUUAAUUCUUGAGGUUCAUUUCUCUGUACUGAUCAGCUCUCCAAGGGCUAUAAAAGGCACUCCAGGUAUAGAGUGAACAUAUAAACACCUAUACAUUAAAACUUCAUUUCAGUGCCUUAAACUACAAGCUGAGUCCAAAUACUCCUGUCUUUCUUUCACCUACACAUUUUACAAGUUUUUCUUGAAUUAUUCAAGUAAUCUUAAACACAGUUCUGUCUAGUUCAUCUUUUCUGCAACACUGAAUAUCCUUUUUGCUUUGGUUGUCUAUUAUAGUAUCCCUGUAUCUUUAGCAUCUUUGGAUUUCUUUCAUCCUCUCACAAGCCUUGUUUAUCACCAAUAUAUAGCAAUAUUCAUCAUUGCCAGAGAAUUGCUUGCAUUACUGAUAAAAUUCCCUAAAACAUCUCUCAUGUUACCAUAUUGCAUGGUGGGCAGGACCUUAUUUUCUCCUUCUCACACCUACACAAAGCUCAUUUACAGGGAAUGUUGAUACAUUUCAGAUGGCGAUAU